rnacentral:rRNA from 1 species
GACGAACGCUGGCGGCGUGCUUAACACAUGCAAGUCGAACGCAAAGGCCCCUUUGGGGGUACUCGAGUGGCGAACGGGUGAGUAACACGUGAGUAACCUGCCCUUGACUUCGGGAUAACUUCAGGAAACUGGGGCUAAUACCGGAUAGGAAUCCUUGCUGCAUGGUGGGGGUUGGAAAGCUUCGGCGGUUUUGGAUGGACUCGCGGCUUAUCAGCUUGUUGGUGGGGUAGUGGCUUACCAAGGCUUUGACGGGUAGCCGGCCUGAGAGGGCGACCGGCCACAUUGGGACUGAGAUACGGCCCAGACUCCUACGGGAGGCAGCAGUGGGGAAUAUUGCACAAUGGGCGGAAGCCUGAUGCAGCAACGCCGCGUGCGGGAUGACGGCCUUCGGGUUGUAAACCGCUUUCAGCAGGGGCGAAGCUUGUGGUGACGGUACCUGCAGAAGAAGCACCGGCUAACUACGUG